GACGAACGCUGGCGGCGUGCUUAACACAUGCAAGUCGAACGAGGCCCGCUCUUCGGGGUGGGUUCUAGUGGCGAACGGGUGAGUAACACGUGGGCAACCUGCCCCUGGCUCUGGGAUAACUCCAAGAAAUUGGGGCUAAUACCGGAUAUGUCCGCUGACCGCAUGGUCUGGUGGUGGAAAGGUUUUUCCGGCUGGGGAUGGGCCCGCGGCCUAUCAGCUUGUUGGUGGGGUAGUGGCCUACCAAGGCGACGACGGGUAGCCGGCCUGAGAGGGUGACCGGCCACACUGGGACUGAGACACGGCCCAGACUCCUACGGGAGGCAGCAGUGGGGAAUAUUGCGCAAUGGGCGAAAGCCUGACGCAGCGACGCCGCGUGGGGGAUGACGGCCU
rnacentral:rRNA from 1 species